GGCCAGUUGGGGGGUUUGUAAAUCCAACGUGAAAACCUUUUGUUCAAAGGAAGAAACGCCUUUGGAACUUCCAACCCUGGGUGUAGGAGGGGAGAGUGGAACUUCUGGUGGAGCGGUGAAAUGCGUAGAUAUCAGAAGGAACGUCGGCGGCGAAAGCGACUCUCUGGCCUAUUACUGACACUGAGGGGGCAAAAGUUAGGGAACCAAACGGAAUUAAAUACCCCGGUA
rnacentral:rRNA from 1 species